rnacentral:rRNA from 1 species
ACGUAGGGGGCAAGCGUUAUCCGGAUUUACUGGGUGUAAAGGGAGCGUAGACGGCGAGACAAGUCUGAAGUGAAAGCCCGGGGCUCAACCCCGGGACUGCUUUGGAAACUGCCUUGCUAGAGUGCUGGAGAGGUAAGUGGAAUUCCUAGUGUAGCGGUGAAAUGCGUAGAUAUUAGGAGGAACACCAGUGGCGAAGGCGGCUUGCUGGACAGUAACUGACGUUGAGGCUCGAAAGCGUGGGGAGCAAACAG